CCUACGGGUGGCAGCAGUGGGGAAUAUUGCACAAUGGGCGCAAGCCUGAUGCAGCGACGCCGCGUGCGGGAUGGAGGCCUUCGGGUUGUAAACCGCUUUUGUUCAAGGGCCAGGCACGGUCUUUGGCCGUGUUGAGUGGAUUGUUCGAAUAAGCACCGGCUAAAUACGUGCCAGCAGCAGCGGUAAUACUUAGGGUGCAAGCGUUAUCCGGAUUUUUUGUGCGUAAAGGGGUCGUAGGCGGUUCGUUGCCGCCGGUGUGAAAGUCCAUCGCUUAACGGUGGAGCCGCGCCGGGUACGGGCGGGCUUGAGUGAGGGAGGGGAGACUGGAAUUCCCGGUGUAACGGUGGAAUGUGUAGAUAUCGGGAAGAACACCAAUGGCGAAGGCAGGUCUCUGGGCCGUUACUGACGCUGAGGAGCGAAAGCGUGGGGAGCGAACAGGAUUAGAUACCCGGGUAGUC
rnacentral:rRNA from 1 species